CGUAGGGGGCAAGCGUUGUCCGGAUUUAUUGGGCGUAAAGAGCGUGUAGGCGGUCAGGUAGGUCGGUUGUGAAAACUGGAGGCUCAACCUUCAGAGGUCGACCGAAACCCCCUGGCUAGAGUCCGGGAGAGGAGAGUGGAAUUCCUGGUGUAGCGGUGAAAUGCGCAGAUAUCAGGAAGAACACCCGUGGCGAAAGCGGCUCUCUGGAACGGUACUGACGCUGAGACGCGAAAGCGUGGGGAGCGAACAGGAUUAGAUACCCUGGUAGUCCACGCCGUAAACGAUGGGCGCUAGGUGUGGGAGGUGUCGACUCCUUCCGUGCCGAAGCUAACGCAUUAAGCGCCCCGCCUGGGGAGUACGGCCGCAAGGCUA
rnacentral:rRNA from 1 species